GCCUGGAUGGUUCAGUCGGUUAAGCGUCUGACUUCGGCUCAGGUCAUGAUCUCACGGGUCGUGAGUUCGAGUCCUGCUUCGGGCU
rnacentral:tRNA from 1 species